rnacentral:rRNA from 2 species
GUUUGAUCCUGGCUCAGGACGAACGCUGGCGGCGUGCCUAAUACAUGCAAGUCGAACGAAACUUUCUUACACCGAAUGCUUGCAUUCACCGUAAGAAGUUGAGUGGCGGACGGGUGAGUAACACGUGGGUAACCUGCCUAAAAGAAGGGGAUAACACUUGGAAACAGGUGCUAAUACCGUAUAUCUCUAAGGAUCGCAUGAUCCUUAGAUGAAAGAUGGUUCUGCUAUCGCUUUUAGAUGGACCCGCGGCGUAUUAACUAGUUGGUGGGGUAACGGCCUACCAAGGUGAUGAUACGUAGCCGAACUGAGAGGUUGAUCGGCCACAUUGGGACUGAGACACGGCCCAAACUCCUACGGGAGGCAGCAGUAGGGAAUCUUCCACAAUGGACGCAAGUCUGAUGGAGCAACGCCGCGUGAGUGAAGAAGGUCUUCGGAUCGUAAAACUCUGUUGUUAGAGAAGAACACGAGUGAGAGUAACUGUUCAUUCGAUGACGGUAUCUAACCAGCAAGUCACGGCUAACUACGUGCCAGCAGCCGCGGUAAUACGUAGGUGGCAAGCGUUGUCCGGAUUUAUUGGGCGUAAAGGGAACGCAGGCGGUCUUUUAAGUCUGAUGUGAAAGCCUUCGGCUUAACCGGAGUAGUGCAUUGGAAACUGGAAGACUUGAGUGCAGAAGAGGAGAGUGGAACUCCAUGUGUAGCGGUG